rnacentral:rRNA from 1 species
AUGAACGCUGGCGGCGUGCCUAACACAUGCAAGUCGAGCGGAGAUAAGUUGAAGCCUAGCGAUUCUUAUCUUAGCGGCGGAUGGGUGAGUAACACGUGGGUAACCUGCCCUGUACUGGGGGAUAACAGCUGGAAACGGCUGUUAAUACCGCAUAUGCGCACGGAGCCGCAUGGCCCUGGGGCGGAAAGAUUCAUCGGUACAGGAUGGGCCCGCGCCGGAUUAACUUGUUGGCGGGGUAACGGCCCACCAAGGUGAUGAUCCGUAGCCGACCUGAGAGGGUGACCGGCCACAUUGGGACUGAGACACGGCCCAAACUCCUACGGGAGGCAGCAGUGGGGGAUAUUGCACAAUGGGGGAAACCCUGAUGCAGCGACGCCGCGUGAAGGAAGAAGUAUUUCGGUAUGUAAACUUCUAUCAGCGGGGAAGAAGAUGACGGUACCCGCACAAGAAGCCCCGGCUAACUACGUGCCAGCCGCCGC